AUAAAGUAAUAAACUUCUUCAGGAGAAUGGAACUGUAUGGUACUGUAUUAGAAAGAGUUGUGCACCUGGGAGAUCUUGAUCAUCUUGGACUAUAAUCUCCAUGGCGUGAAAAUCUGAAGAUAUUCCGGAGUAAAAGAUUGGUUUAUUUAAAGUGACUAUUGUAUCAAAAUGGUUGGAAAACUCAAACAAAACUUGUUAUUGGCAUGUCUGGUGAUCAGCUCAGUGACAGUGUUUUAUUUGGGGCAACAUGCUAUGGAAUGUCACCACAGAAUAGAAGAACGCAGCCAGCCAGUGAGGAUGGAAAGUGGGAGAACCACAAUAAGAACUGUCUUUAACUUAAAAGCAAAUAAAACCUUUGCUUACAAUAAAGACAUGCCUUUAAUAUUUAUUGGAGGGGUGCCUCGAAGUGGCACUACACUAAUGCGUGCCAUGCUAGAUGCUCACCCCGAUAUCCGUUGUGGAGAAGAGACUAGGGUAAUCCCUCGAAUUCUGGCAGUUAAGCAGAUGUGGGCCAGAUCAAGUAAAGAGAAAAUCAGACUGGAUGAAGCUGGGGUGACAGAUGAAGUUCUGGACUCAGCCAUGCAAGCCUUUUUAUUGGAAAUCAUUGUUAAACACGGGGAACCUGCUCCCUAUUUGUGUAAUAAAGAUCCUUUUGCUCUGAAGUCCUUAACUUAUCUUGCCAGAAUUUUCCCCAAUGCCAAAUUUCUUUUAAUGGUACGGGAUGGUCGUGCAUCGGUGCAUUCCAUGAUAUCUAGAAAAGUCACCAUAGCUGGGUUUGACCUUAACAGCUACAGGGACUGUUUGACCAAAUGGAAUCGUGCUAUAGAGACUAUGUAUAACCAGUGUAUGGAGGUUGGUUUUGAAAGAUGCAUGCUGGUACACUAUGAACAACUUGUAUUGCAUCCUGAAAGGUGGAUGAGAAAUCUAUUAAAGUUUCUCCACAUUCCAUGGAACCAAGCAGUGCUACACCAUGAGGAAAUGAUUGGGAAAGCAGGUGGUGUCUCUCUUUCAAAAGUUGAAAGAUCUACAGAUCAAGUAAUCAAACCAGUCAAUGUGGAAGCUUUGUCCAAAUGGGUUGGGAAAAUACCUUCAGAUGUUCUACAAGACAUGCCAGUGAUUGCACCAAUGUUAGCAAAACUUGGCUACGAUCCAUAUGCCAAUCCACCAAAUUAUGGAAAGCCAGAUCAAAAAGUUCUUGAAAACACACGACGGGUCUAUAAAGGUGAAUUUCAGCUUCCUGAUUUUCUUAAAGAAAUGCCACAGCCAAAGAAGACAGUAGAAAGGAAGUCCCGUGGCAAGAUAAAAUGAACAUGGACCAGUAAAGUAGAGUAGCUGUGGUGUCUGUUUCAUGUUUUCAGAGCAUAAAACUCUUAGCUGUGGGCACCUUGAAUCUUUCUGAUAAACUUUCUUUAUGUGCGAUUUCUAACCUGGGCUUUGCUCUGUUACUGGGUGUUUGCCUGUUCUUACAUUUUGAACAGUUAGUGUUCAUGCUUUGCAAGCUGUGCUUAGCUAAUAUAAAGCCAUUAAGAACCUGACACCACUCAGCUAAAUGUGCUGUUGCUCACAGUAUUCACAGUAUUGCUCAGUUCUCAACUGCUGGCCAAAAUGUCUAUGCAGCUUAAAGACCGAACCAGUGGAGUAGAAUACCUUAUGUGCAAGGACUGUCCUACCAAGAUCAGUGAGGUGUACCGCUCAUGGCCUGCUUUUUUCGAAUCUUCUCCCAUUUGCCUUCAGACUGUGUUUUUUGUUUUGUUUGGGGCGUUUUGUUUGGUGGUUUGUUUUUGGUUUUUUGUGAGCACACUUAAACCUGUAACAAUAAAAGCACUUUUCUGAUAUGGUGAACACUUUCACUGAUGAUGAUGAUGUACUGUGUUACAUUUAUACAACUGUUUCUACAGUUUGAAAAUGAAAUUAAAGCAAAAUCUGGCCUAUGUUGAAACUGCUAUUCUGUCUAUAUCUCUGUUUAAUUCCAGAGCUUAAUUUUAAAGGGUUUGUAAAAAUGGUUUGUGAAACAUUUGGAAUUUAAAUGUAUGAAAUUUUGUAAAAGUGGCUUGUGCUUGUCCUAAUUUGUGUUUGGUUUUUUUUUUUGGUAGAACAGUUGUGCCUGUUUCAAUUUUAUUGACGUGGAAAUUGUCAAAUAUCUUUCUUUUAAUUAUUUAAAAAAUCACUUCUGAGAUGUUGAUAAAUUACAUGUACAUUUACAAUGCAGUGAUCUUUUGUAUUUUAUUUUUCAAAAUAAAUGCUUUAAAUGUGA